GAAAAGAAGGAAACGGCACCACAGUGAGCAUUCCUGCACGCAAACUUUCAUCUCUCUCUCUCUUUCGUUCGUUCGAUGUUUCACAUCAAAGUUUUCGAAAAUCUCGUCAGGAUAAAGAAAAGAAAAAGAAAAAAGAAACAAAACAAGACAACAACGGAAAAAGGGGGAAAAUCCGGGCGCUCGUAAAAUAUUAAAGAUGGAUAGAAAAAAAAGCGCGCGCAACCAACCAUUUCCAGGCUGGGCGCACGCGCGUUUCAUGGGCAGAGGGAAAGGAUAUUUCCAACUUCAUUGGUCAUCAUCCUGUUUUGUGUUUAACUACCGACAUAAUCAACAUUCGACCGUUCCUAUAGUGUUAUUAUCCACACAGGGCCUUUACGUCGACCGACCGGAGCCCAUCGAGAAAUCCGCCACGCCAGUUCCUCCGCCCGUCUCUCCAAGUGUAUCACUGUAAAAGCUGCAAACGCAGGAAAGAAACGAAAACAAAGUUUCGGCUAUUUCUCUCGAGUUCCAGCCCAACAAAUGUGAAAUGAGCUCAACUAAUAUGCAAGUCCAUCUCGUCUAGAAAAAAAAAAAAAAAACGUCGUCAUCGUUUUGUCGACCACUAAACCACCAUCAACUUGUUGCGUGUUUUUGUUUCUUCUUGCCUCUUUUGGGACGCGAAUAAAUUCCAGAGAAAAUUGAAA